rnacentral:misc_RNA from 1 species
GUGAAUCAUCGAAUCUUUGAACGCACAUUGCGCCCGCCAGUAUUCUGGCGGGCAUGCCUGUUCGAGCGUCAUUUCAACCCUCAAACCCCCGGGUUUGGUGUUGGAGAUCGGUCAGCCUCGUGCUCACCGGCUCCGAAAUCUAGUGGCGGUCUCGCUGCAGCCUCCAUUGCGUAGUAGAUAACACCUCGCAACUGGAACGCGGCGCGGCCAAGCCGUUAAACCCCCAACUUCUGAAUGUUGACCUCGGAUCAGGUAGGAAUACCCGCUGAACUUAAGCAUAUCAAUAAGCGGAGGA